GGCGCAGGCUACACAUGCAGUCGAACGGUAGCACAGAGAGCUUGCUCUCGGGUGACGAGUGGCGGACGGGUGAGUAAUGUCUGGGAAACUGCCUGAUGGAGGGGGAUAACUACUGGAAACGGUAGCUAAUACCGCAUAACGUCGCAAGACCAAAGAGGGGGACCUUCGGGCCUCUUGCCAUCAGAUGUGCCCAGAUGGGAUUAGCUAGUAGGUGGGGUAACGGCUCACCUAGGCGACGAUCCCUAGCUGGUCUGAGAGGAUGACCAGCCACACUGGAACUGAGACACGGUCCAGACUCCUACGGGAGGCAGCAGUGGGGAAUAUUGCACAAUGGGCGCAAGCCUGAUGCAGCCAUGCCGCGUGUAUGAAGAAGGCCUUCGGGUUGUAAAGUACUUUCAGCGGGGAGGAAGGUGUUGUGGUUAAUAACCGCAGCAAUUGACGUUACCCGCAGAAGAAGCACCGGCUAACUCCGUGCCAGCAGCCGCGGUAAUACGGAGGGUGCAAGCGUUAAUCGGAAUUACUGGGCGUAAAGCGCACGCAGGCGGUCUGUCAAGUCGGAUGUGAAAUCCCCGGGCUCAACCUGGGAACUGCAUUCGAAACUGGCAGGCUGGAGUCUUGUAGAGGGGGGUAGAAUUCCAGGUGUAGCGGUGAAAUGCGUAGAGAUCUGGAGGAAUACCGGUGGCGAAGGCGGCCCCCUGGACAAAGACUGACGCUCAGGUGCGAAAGCGUGGGGAGCAAACAGGAUUAGAUACCCUGGUAGUCCACGCCGUAAACGAUGUCGAUUUGGAGGUUGUGCCCUUGAGGCGUGGCUUCCGGAGCUAACGCGUUAAAUCGACCGCCUGGGGAGUACGGCCGCAAGGUUAAAACUCAAAUGAAUUGACGGGGGCCCGCACAAGCGGUGGAGCAUGUGGUUUAAUUCGAUGCAACGCGAAGAACCUUACCUGGUCUUGACAUCCACAGAACUUACCAGAGAUGCUUUGGUGCCUUCGGGAACUGUGAGACAGGUGCUGCAUGGCUGUCGUCAGCUCGUGUUGUGAAAUGUUGGGUUAAGUCCCGCAACGAGCGCAACCCUUAUCCUUUGUUGCCAGCGGUUAGGCCGGGAACUCAAAGGAGACUGCCAGUGAU
rnacentral:rRNA from 1 species